rnacentral:rRNA from 1 species
AAAGGCAGUCAUAUCACCCUGUAGCCCAAUACUGCUUGCCCACUGAAGCUAAGCAGGGCUGAGCCUGGUCAGUACCUGGAUGGGAGACCUCCUGGGAAAACUAGGUUGCUGCUGGAA